rnacentral:lncRNA from 1 species
UAUCUGAACACACAAGGAAACUAUAAUCUCCUCCUUCACCUUAUCAGUCUCUUCCUUACAACAAUUCAGUCAUACCAAUAACUGCUAUUUCUACCAAUAUAUUCACCUUCAUAAUCUCCAACUGUAAUACUGUACCUUCACAGCUUUCAGCACACAAUUAUCCUCAUUCCAAUCACUAGAAUUCUUCACACAGAACUGCCAUUCACAUUACAAUGUUUCACACAAACACAGACUCAUUCUCUCUGCUGAACUACAAUCAGAUUUCAGCAUUCAAUCUUUCUUCUUCUCAAAUAAUACCAAUCACAUUUCCAUUCCAUAAUUCACUUCACAAUAUUCAAAAAAUUUCAAUCCUCUUAUUCAAAGAAAAUAACAAACAAAAGAAAAGAG